AGCAGCCGCGGUAAUUCCAGCUCCAAUAGCGUAUAUUAAAGUUGUUGCAGUUAAAAAGCUCGUAGUUGAAUUUCGGGGUUAGUAGGUUGGUCAUGCCUCUGGUAUGUACUGGUCUCACUGAUUCCUCCUUCCUGAUGAACCUUAAUGCCAUUAAUUUGGUGUUUUGGGGAAUUUGGACUGUUACUUUGAAAAAAUUAGAGUGUUUAAAGCAAGCUAACGCUUGAAUACAUUAGCAUGGAAUAAUGAAAUAGGACGUUCGAUCCUAUUUUGUUGGUUUCUAGGAUUGACGUAAUGAUUAAUAGGGAUAGUUGGGGGCAUUAGUAUUCAAUUGUCAGAGGUGAAAUUCUUGGAUUUAUUGAAGACUAACUACUGCGAAAGCAUUUGCCAAGGAUGUUUUCAUUAAUCAAGAACGAAAGUUAGGGGAUCGAAGACGAUCAGAUACCGUCGUAGUCUUAACCAUAAACUAUGCCGACUAGGGAUCGGAUGAUGUAAUUUUUAAUGACUCAUUCGGCGCCUUACG
rnacentral:rRNA from 1 species